rnacentral:siRNA from 1 species
GAUUCCACUGUCGCAUUAUCCCA